AUUGAACGCUGGCGGCAUGCCUUACACAUGCAAGUCGAACGGCAGCAUGAUCUAGCUUGCUAGAUUGAUGGCGAGUGGCGAACGGGUGAGUAAUACAUCGGAACGUGCCCUGUAGUGGGGGAUAACUAGUCGAAAGAUUAGCUAAUACCGCAUACGACCUGAGGGUGAAAGUGGGGGACCGCAAGGCCUCAUGCUAUAGGAGCGGCCGAUGUCUGAUUAGCUAGUUGGUGAGGUAAAGGCUCACCAAGGCGACGAUCAGUAGCUGGUCUGAGAGGACGAUCAGCCACACUGGGACUGAGGCACGGCCCAGACUCCUACGGGAGGCAGCAGUGGGGAAUUUUGGACAAUGGGCGAAAGCCUGAUCCAGCAAUGCCGCGUGUGUGAAGAAGGCCUUCGGGUUGUAAAGCACUUUUGUCCGGAAAGAAAUGGCUCUGGUUAAUACCUGGGGUCGAUGACGGUACCGGAAGAAUAAGGACCGGCUAACUACGUG
rnacentral:rRNA from 1 species